rnacentral:rRNA from 1 species
GAUGAACGCUGGCGGCGUGCCUAAUACAUGCAAGUCGAGCGAACAGACGAGGAGCUUGCUCCUCUGACGUUAGCGGCGGACGGGUGAGUAACACGUGGAUAACCUACCUAUCUGACUGGGAUAACUUCGGGAAACCGGCGCUAAUACCGGAUAAUAUAUUGAACCGUAUGGUUCAAUAGUGAAAGACGGUUUUGCUGUCACUUCUAGCUGGAUCCGCGCCGCAUUGGCUAGUUGGUAAGGUAACGGCUUACCAAGGCGACGAUGCGUAGCCGACCUGCGAGAGUGAUCGGCCACACUGGAACUGAGCCACGGUCCAGACUCCUGCGGGAGGCAGCAGUAGGGAAUCUUCCGCAAUGGGCGAGAGCCUGACGGAGCAGCGCCGCGUGAGUGAUGAAGGUCUUCGGAUCGUAAAACUCUGUUAUUAGGGAAGAACAAAUGUGUAAGUAACUAUGCACGUCUUGACGGUACCGAAUCAGAAAGCCACGGCUAACUACGUG